rnacentral:lncRNA from 1 species
UUAUCCUUCUGCUCCUAGCCACAGAUAUGACAACUAUCCUAUUGCUUCAAGAGGGGGGAGGUUUGGAAGAAGAGGGGGAAGACCAUUCAGGGGAGGAAAAACUACAGGUCGUUCUGGUAACCACUAUUUUUGUUCCUACUGCAAUCGUCCUGGCCAUGACCUAGAAUGGUGUUACUAUGCCCAACAAGAUUCCAGCUUUCCAUACUAUACAUCACAUUCACACAACAACAACAACUUCUCUUCUUAUCCUCAAACAUAUCCUAACCCUGCUUAUCC